rnacentral:rRNA from 1 species
GAUGAACGCUAGCGAUAGGCUUAACACAUGCAAGUCGAGGGGCAGCACAAGGUAGCUUGCUCUCUGGGUGGCGACCGGCGCACGGGUGCGUAACGCGUAUGCAACUUGCCCUAUACAGGAGGAUAACCCGUCGAAAGACGGACUAAUACUGCGUAUGCUCACAACUUGGCAUCAAGUGGUGAGGAAAGAAAUUCGGUAUAGGAUAGGCAUGCGUCCCAUUAGCUUGUUGGUGAGGUAACGGCUCACCAAGGCAACGAUGGGUAGGGGAACUGAGAGGUUUAUCCCCCACACUGGUACUGAGACACGGACCAGACUCCUACGGGAGGCAGCAGUGAGGAAUAUUGGUCAAUGGGCGCGAGCCUGAACCAGCCAAGUCGCGUGAAGGAUGACUGUCUUAUGGAUUGUAAACUUCUUUUAUACGGGAAUAACAAGAGUCACGUGUGACUCCCUGCAUGUACCGGAUGAAUAAGCAUCGGCUAACUCCGUG